rnacentral:rRNA from 1 species
AUUGAACGCUGGCGGGAUGCUUUACACAUGCAAGUCGAACGGCAGCACGGGGGCAACCCUGGUGGCGAGUGGCGAACGGGUGAGUAAUACAUCGGAACGUGCCCGGUCGUGGGGAAUAACGUAGCGAAAGUUACGCUAAUACCGCAUACGAUCUGAGGAUGAAAGCGGGGGACCUUCGGGCCUCGCGCGAUCGGAGCGGCCGAUGUCAGAUUAGGUAGUUGGUGGGGUAAAGGCCUACCAAGCCGACGAUCUGUAGCUGGUCUGAGAGGACGACCAGCCACACUGGGACUGAGACACGGCCCAGACUCCUACGGGAGGCAGCAGUGGGGAAUUUUGGACAAUGGGCGCAAGCCUGAUCCAGCCAUUCCGCGUGCAGGACGAAGGCCUUCGGGUUGUAAACUGCUUUUGUAUGGAACGAAAAGGCUCUGGCUAAUACCUGGGGCUCAUGACGGUACCGUAAGAAUAAGCACCGGCUAACUACGUG